AUUAUCCCCCCUUUAAAUUAUAGCCAUGCUUAUUUUUAAAGUAGACCCGAGACUAACAGUCUGUGGGCGAAACAAAUCAAACUCAUUCCUGAGCGUCUGACACGAAGAGACAAAAGGGGGAUUCAUUAAGGUCGCCCACAAACUUUUGCAAGGCGCCGGUCCAACGCGGACAGAUGUGGUUCUGAGAGGAGAGGGGCCACUCGUGACAAAGGAUCCUGAGUCAGCGAUUCCCGCAUGAUGUCGCUCAGUCGGAAAUCAGGAAGAGACAGCAGACGCAAGCGGAGGAAGGUGGAGCGACGGAUCCUGUGGAGAUAAGUCGUGUAAGGGGAUCGAGAAGAUUUUGGAAAAGGAAAAAAGAAACUGGGAAAGAAAUAUAUUUAAACUAAAGCAUGUAAUUUUAAAAUCUUUUAACCAUAUGCACCAUAUCGUUUCCACCUUUGGUCGUCUUUUGAUAAUUUAUUAAUAAAAGAAGUAGUUUGAUGCUA